rnacentral:misc_RNA from 1 species
AACGGUCUAUACCUGCGGUACCUGCGGAGGGAUCAUUACCGAGUUAUACAACUCAUCAACCCCUGUGAACUUACCUACAACGUUGCUUCGGCGGGAACAGACGGCCCCGUAAAACGGGCCGCCCCCGCCAGAGGACCCCUAACUCUGUUUUUAUAAUGUUUUUCUGAGUAAACAAGCAAAUAAAUUAAAACUUUUAACAACGGAUCUCU